rnacentral:rRNA from 1 species
CCCGNUGNAACUUAAGCAUAUCAAUAAGCGGAGGAAAAGAAACUAACAAGGAUUCCCCCUAGUAACGGCGAGUGAAGCGGGAAAAGCUCAAAUUUAAAAUCUGGCAAUCUCUGGUUGUCCGAAUUGUAAUCUAGAGAAGCGUUUUCCGCUCUGGACUGUGUUCAAGUUUCCUGGAUACGGAACAUCAUAGAGGGUGAGAAUCCCGUCCUUGACACAGACUCCCAGUGCUAUGUGAUGCGCUCUCGACGAGUCGAGUUGUUUGGGAUUGCAGCUCAAAAUGGGAGGUAAAUUCCUUCUAAAGCUAAAUAUUGGCGAGAGACCGAUAGCGAACAAGUACCGUGAGGGAAAGAUGAAAAGCACUUUGGAAAGAGAGUUAAACAGUACGUGAAAUUGUUAAAAGGGAAACGCUUGAAGUCAGUCGCGUUUGCUUGGACUCAGCCUUACUUUGGUUUGGUGCAUUUCCUUGCAGACGGGCCAGCGUUCAUGUUGUUUGCCGGAAAAGGGGUGAAGGAAUGUGGCUCCUUUGGGAGUGUUAUAGCUUUCACUCGCAUGCGGGGGACGAUAUGGAGUGGUACAGCACGCUUCGGUGGUGCUUGUGCUGGCAUAAUGGCUUUAAACGACCCGUCUUGAAACACGGACCAAGGAGUCUAACAUGUCUGCGAGUGUUUGGGUGGAAAACCCGAGCGCGUAAUGAAAGUGAUGGCUGGGAACCCCUUCUAGGGAGGCACCGGCGCCCCGAGCUGACCUUCUGUGACGCAUCGGAGGCAGAGCAUAUAUGUUGGGACCCGAAAGAUGGUGAACUAUGCCUGAAUAGGGCGAAGCCAGAGGAAACUCUGGUGGAGGCUCGUAGCGAUUCUGACGUGCAAAUCGAUCGUCAAAUUUGGGUAUAGGGGCGAAAGACUAAUCGAACCAUCUAGUAGCUGGUUCCUGCCGAAGUUU